CGGGUGUUCCAGUUCAGAGGAGGAAUUGAAGCCGACGCACUUCGUUGGCCUUUCUGCUUCGUCUUGUGCCAUCGAAUUAACUUAAAAGCAAACUGAAGUAGUGUGGUUACGGCAGCUCGGCCAAAAGGUGCUCCACUUUCCUAAGCCACCCACCAAGGGUGAUAUGGAAAAGUGCGGUGUGAACGCGUUGGCACACUUGGCUCUUUUUGAACUCGAAAUGAAACUGCAACUCUAAGUGCUUUUCAAUCAAGAUGGGAGAAACAUUGGGGAUUGCACACAAUGUGUUCGAAAAAAUGGAACGGGAACGAGAUCGAAAAGAGCGAAUCAAGAAGUACGAGGAGUGGCAAAAGGUCAAGGUGAAAAAGCAACAGAAGCUCAAGGUGAUGAAGGCCAAGAUCCGGGUGAACGAGGAGUUGAGACGCAACGAUGAAUCACAAUCGCAGCUCAGUGAGAUUGAGGCUGAGGCUGGCGCCAGUGGAGGGGGGACCGCUAACCGCGACCUUGACGAGGCCAACGACCUUGGGGACGACUCAGAGAACGAAAUUGGUGGCGAGUCCCCUACUUUAGAAAAUUCAUUAACCAACGAAACACCGGCGAAAAGAGGAACAACCGACUUGACCAUUGAAAACAAGUCAUCGUCGUCUUCGAAGUCGACGAAUGGAUGCUCAAAGUGCCUCAUACAAUGAUUCAAAACGUCCUAGACGACGAAACCAUGGGAAAAAAUGUUCAUCCCUUCACCUAAAAAGCUAACACCAGAUUUUCCCACUUUCCACCAAGUUGCGGCCGCCUCAAUUGAUUUACCACCAACCACACCAUCGACCUCUUGCAGUCAACAAUUGGUGUCCCCUUCACUCAGCGACUCAAGCCCCUCAAAUCAACAUGAACUUGACGCCCUAGACUGAGAGCAUCAUGCAACAUGUUGCCACUGACAAUUGAAAUGUCAUGCCCCCAAACCAUGAAGGAUUGCCUUAUCAAAUACUAACCAAGUGCAUCAACCUCAACUUCAGUUGUUGUUGUUGUUGAAGUCGGUUUCAUGGUGACGUUGGUCAUCAUCCAGCUGUUUAUGGGCGGAACCGGGCAAAUCCGAGUAUAAACCAGCAGUUUGGCGACACGCGUGACCAUCAGCCCAUGCCUGAGAAUACCUAUAGAAAUCAAACGUAGCAACGAGAUAAUGUUGUAGGAUAACCAUAUUAUACCAUGAUCUAUGUAAGGAGAAUCGAUAGUAAAGCCAUACACAAACUCCA